AGGUGCUGCAUGGCUGUCGUCAGCUCGUGUCGUGAGAUGUUCGGUUAAGUCCGCUAACGAGCGCAACCCUCGCUGUGUGUUACAAGUGUCACACGGUACUGCCGGUCUUAAGCCGGAGGAAGGUGGGGAUGACGUCAAGUCAGCAUGGCCUUUAUGUCCUGGGCUACACACACGCUACAACGGCCAACACAAUAGGUUGCUAAGCCGCGAGGUGGAGCCAAUCCUCAAAGUUGGUCUCAGUUCAGAUUGCAGGCUGCAACCCGCCUGCAUGAAGAUGGAGUUGCUAGUAACCGCAGGUCAGCUAUACUGCGGUGAAUACGUUCCCGGGGCUU
rnacentral:rRNA from 1 species